UUCGAAUUGGUGUAAUAGGCUAACACAUGACGAUGCUCUGAUUAAGUGAGCCCUCAAGCAUAGGGUUCGAAUCCCUGAUUCGAAU